GAGAGGGAACCUGCAGCGCUCUGUGGCUGGAGCUGCACGAGUGCUUGACUUGAAAAACCUGGAGGAACUUGCUUUUCUUAGACACAGACACUGUGCCUUCCAUAAUCUGGAGAAGUUUGGAAUAGCUUAGUUUUCAAAUUCACUGACAAAAGAGAACAAGAGAAAAGUGAGAUGUUGAGACUUCUGGAGACAACAUCCUAUGAAAAGAAAAUGAAGGAGUUGGGUAACCUUUGGACAAUAAAGAGGUGAUAUGAUAUACCAUCUUAAAGUAGCUGAAUGUCUGCCACACAGUUGAUGGAACACCAUUGUUUCAGCAAACAUUUUGGGUUUCAGCUUUUUAAUACAAUGAAAACAUUUAAGCCAAUGUUUUAAAUUUAAAUUUUAAAGCAGUGUUUUUGUUUUUGUUGUUUAUGUUUUUGU